rnacentral:lncRNA from 1 species
UAUUUCCCACUUGCAUGAACAAAACUUCAGCGGAGAGCUCUCCAACGAUAUCUCAUUAGAGCAGCUGAAUUUUAAAAUAAAAAAAAAAACUUCAAAUACCACCUUCGAAGUUUCGCACUUUCUUAUUUUGGUAUUCUGUGGUUUAAAAUGUAUCGAUUUAGUACCAUGUGAUUUUAUUUUUCUCUUUUUAUUAUCUCUUCCGCUAAUUUUUUUUUGUUAAGUCAGUGACAAAGUUAAAUCUAAAAGGUACUAAAGUAAAUAUUUGAUAAAUCUAGGUGAAGUAUCAAAAGUUUUUUUGUAUAUAAUUUAACAAAAUGUCAACGAAGGAGCUGACGAAAAGAAAAAAAAAGAAAAUUAUAAAGUACUAAAUUGAUACAUUUAGGGAGUGUUUGGUUCACUUUUUUUUCACUCUGAAAUUGGAAUUGGAAUGGGCGAAUCCGUUUGUGGGUAUUUGGUACGCGGGAGUCCCAUUUCGAUUUCGAUUCCCGAGUGGAAUGGGAAUUUCCUAAUCACCUUUUUUUCCAAUCCGGCCUAGGAGGCCGAAUUGGAAGUUGAAUCCGGGCGAAAUAAAUAUUUAUUCGAAUUAAAUUUAUUUUUUCAACUUUUUUAAUUAAAAUAUGAGUUUAAAUAUAGAAAUUAAAUUUUAAAUUUUAAAUUU